rnacentral:rRNA from 1 species
GAUGAACGCUGGCGGCGUGCCUAAUACAUGCAAGUCGAGCGAAGCGGGGACGGGUGAGUAACACGUGGAUAACCUCCUAUACGACUGGGAUAACUUCCGGAAACCGGAGCUAAUCCUGAUCCUUAUAUAUGGAUCCGCGCUGCAUUAGCUAGUUGGUAAGGUAACGGCUUACCAAGGCAACGAUGCAUAGCCGACCUGGGAGGGUGAUAGGCCACCCGGGAACGGAGACACGGUCCAGACUCCUACGGGAGGCAGCAGAAGGGAAUCUUCCGCAAUGGGCGAAAGCCUGACGGAGCAACGCCGCGUGAGUGAUGAAGGUCUUCGGAUCGUAAAACGCUGUUAUUAGGUAAGCGGUACCUAAUCAGAAAGCAACGGCUAACUACGUGCCAGCCGCCGCGGUAAUAC